CCAAUCCCCAUGUUUUAAACUCCCUUGGCACCGACAUCCAGCUCAUGAACCCUUCAUAGAAUGUAACAUGGGACAUUUACACAAUCUUGUAUAAUUAAUUUCUGCCUGAUCUCCCCUCUAGACUGUAAGAUCCAUGAAGGCAGGGACUCUACCUUUUUGCUUACCAUUGUAUUCCAGAGCCUGGCAUAGUGUCUGGCACAUGUUAGGUACUAAAUAAAUUCAUUCUGAAGGAAGGAAGAAUGAAUGAGUGGUAAAUUGAUACUUCUAAAAUAAUAAAGAGGAGGCCUAGCAUUUUAAAUAAGUGAUAAUAAUGGGUAGCACAUAUUAAACUUCUAGUGUUAGGUAAACACUGUUCGAAACUCUUUACUCAUUCAUUCCAGUUCCGAGGACCAACCCUAUCAGUACACAUCAGUAUCUGUGCAUAAUAGAUGAGAUCUGAGACUCAGGCUACUUGUGCAAGGCCAGGCAGCCAGUGUAAGAAGCCUGAGGUGAGAUGUCUGGCCGUGUUGCUAGUGCCGUCGCCCUCAAGAAGCCAAACAGGCUCUCAGAGUCUCUCAGGCCCUGCCCCGGACGUGGCCCCGCCCCAGAGCAUGCUGGGCAGGACCUCCCCAUAGAUCCCUCCCAUUGCCAAUGUAUUCCUCCAGAGGAUUCUGAGCUCUGCUUGGUGUUUCCAGCUGUGAUGAGACUCUCUCCUGGCUUUGAUGAAGCAAGCUGCCAUGUUGGAGAGGCCUACAUGACAAGGAACUGAAGGUUGCCUCCGGCCAACUCCAGCCAACAGCCAUCCAGGAAUUGAGGCUCUCAGUCCAACAGGCCUUGAGGAACUGCAUCCAGCCAGCAGCUAUAGAAGUGAGCAAAGAAGUGUGUAUUUCCCCAGUCAAGCCUUCAGCUGAGACCCCAGCCCCAGCUGCCACCUUAAUUGCAGCCUUGUGAGAGACCUUGGAGCAGAGAACCCAGGUAGGCCUUGCCUAGAUCCCUCACCAACAGAAACUAUGAAUUAAUAAAUACUUGGUUUUUUAAGCCA
rnacentral:lncRNA from 1 species